CUAUGAUCUUUUAUGUUACUAUCGUUAAUAUUAUGUGUUGAUUUGGUCCAUAUCUAAUAUGCUCGGCUCCUCUUAAUGUCAUGAGAUUCUUUUGCCACCUUGUCUCAGUUAUGCAAAAAAUGUAAAUUUUUAUUUACGCUUCAUCAGUCAAAAGAGGGGUUUGUUUAUUUGAGUUACUUCAAGUUAUAUUAAAUUAGUAUAUGUUCAUUAUGGUCUAAUUCUCUCUCUAGUUUUAAAGGUCUUAGGAGACAUGCUAAGGUGCUCACUGUUAGUACUAGAAUAAUUAUAGAUCUUCCGCAACCAUCAUAACUUUAAUGGGUCAUUGAAACGUAACUUCAAUAGCAUUCAUCAUUUUGUAGAAAUCAUCCUACAAAAAUAUUUAAAAAUAAAAUAAAAUAAAAUAAAAUAAUGGCAUAUAGAAUCUACGGACAUUUAGAUAUCAAAUAAGAGAAAAUUUAUGAGUAAUGUUAUAAAUAAAAAUCGUGUAAGAUAUUGCAUAUUAGGAUAUGGGGAAUGAAAAAGUUAGGCAUGGCUUUCUCACUGCAAUUCAUUUUCUUUAUAUAAAAAUAAAAAAUAAAAAAAAGAUGCAGUUACUUUUGAAAAAAAAAAAAAAAAGAGAAAAUAAAAAGAAGAUUUGCUCUUUAAAAUUGUUUCCUUAAAUAGAGGAAUUUAAGUUCAGUUUUCUCAUCCUAAUGUUUAGGAAUCAACCACGUACGAAAUCUAUCCCUUUUAAUUAAAAUUUGAAUAAAUAGAUAACUGAUAAAAAAAAAAACCGUAUGAAUAGUUAGCAAUUUUAUUAUUAUUUUCAGAUUUUUUAAUUGAUUUUAAUAAUUAAUAAUUUAUAAAUUCUAGAAAAUUUAAGGUGCUGACAUGUGACACUUUUUCUUCUCCUAUUAUAUAUAGAUAGAUUUUACCCUUGACCAGAUUUGGCUAUGAUCAUUAAUUGCUUAAGGUCUUCAUUUUUCUUGUAUUGGAUUAAUGUUUGCGUAAUUUGCCUUUAAUUUUUUUAUAUAAAAUAGAAUUGUGGUUGAGUUAGUUUUGAUCUAACAUCUUAUCUGUAUUAAAUUAAUGGGUGGUCCCUCAUACAAUAUGUUUGUUUUCUUAUGCAUGUGAGCUUCAUCGAGGAGUCUAUUUGGACUUGAUUUACGGCCCUUUGCAUUGUCAAAGGGUCACUUAGGCCCAGCGUUCUCCCUCUCGUCAUAUUCCUCGGAGCCGAAUUUAAAAUUAGAAAUUGGUUACAAGGCUGGAAAUUUAAGUCUGCAGGUCUCGAAGCUGAUACAUGUGAAUGUACGGCGAUAUACAAUUAGUAUAUACGCUGUAUAUGGAGCAGAUUGAGCCAAAAGCUCAUUCAUUAUUUUAAAAUUUGUAUUUUGUUAUUUUUGGGCCUAAGCCCUUGUUAUUAUGCUUAUUGUUGUCUUGUUAGGAUUUAGGACAGGUGGCAAGAAUUGGGCCUUUUGGCCCGAAAUGAAAUUAGGCCCAAGUACUGGUCCAGGCGGACAGGAAAACCAGACUUGGGCCCAAGUCUCUCUCUUUAUUUUAUUAUGUUUGUUUAUUUGUUAAUAAUUGAUAUUGAUUUUAAGGUUUCAAAUAUUCAAACCCCCAGAAGAUACCCAUUUCAAAUCAACUACUUACCUAAAAUAUUCAUUUUUCACUCGACUUAAAAGAUAAUUUUGUUAAAGAUCCUACUUAGAUAAUAUUUUAUUGUUAUUAUUAUUAUUAUUAUUAUAUUUUAUUUUAUUUUAUUUUAAAAUAAAAAUAAAAAUAGUCUCAACUAUAAAAUAGUUCAAUUUUGCAAGUUAAACUAAGUUAAAAUUAUUUUAGCCAAAUAACUAAUCGUCGGAUAACCGCAUUAGCGGGUGUUCUAGGUGCUUUCAAACCCUUCCUAGAACACUAAUAUGAACCCCCGAACCCCCGAACCCCCUUAUAUUUUCAAUUGAUUCCCUGUUUUAAUCUAUUGAAACAAUAGUUUUUCUUGAUUUUUCUUAAAAAUUAAGUGGCGACUCUAAACCAGUCCAAAAUAUAUCUUCUUAAUAAAACAGAAUGGCGACUUCCGCUGGGGAAUUGAAUGGUUCUAACCUUAAAAUUAAUUNNNNNNNNNNNNNNNNNNNNNNNNNNNNNNNNNNNNNNNNNNNNNNNNNNNNNNNNNNNNNNNNNNNNNNNNNNNNNNNNNNNNNNNNNNNNNNNNNNNNCAGUUAUACCUGCAGAAGUUGAAAUACAUUCAUUAAGAAUAAUCCAGGAAGCUGAAUUGGGUGAUGUUGAAUGGGUUCGCAAGCGAAUUGAUCAGUUAACAUUAAUUGAUGAGAAGAGAAUGGUUGCUAUUUGUCAUGGACAAUUGUAUCGACAAAGAAUGAUUCGUGCCUUCCACAAGAAAGUAAGAGCCAGAAUGUUUGANNNNNNNNNNNNNNNNNNNNNNNNNNNNNNNNNNNNNNNNNNNNNNNNNNNNNNNNNNNNNNNNNNNNNNNNNNNNNNNNNNNNNNNNNNNNNNNNNNNNNNNNNNNNNNNNNNNNNNNNNNNNNNNNNNNNNNNNNNNNNNNNNNNNNNNNNNNNNNNNNNNNNNNNNNNNNNNNNNNNNNNNNNNNNNNNNNNNNNNNNNAAUAUUUCUUUGUAUUUGAACUACGUUCGACCUGAAUUCUCAAGAAUGAGAUACGUAGGCGGCCUAUGUCGGCUUCGGUCACCCCUUUAUUCCCUUUUAAGUAUUUUCUUUUGUAUUUGAACUACGUUCGACCUGAAUUCUCAAGAAUGAGAUACGUAGGCGGCCUAUGUUGGCCUCGGUCACUCCUUAUCCCCUUUUUAAUAUUUCCCUUUCGUAUUUGAACUACGUUCGACCUGAAUUCUCAAGAAUGAGAUACGUAGGCGGCCUAUGUUGGCCUCGGUCACUCCUUAUCCCCUUUUUAAUAUUUCCCUUUCGUAUUUGAACUACGUUCGACCUGAAUUCUCAAGAAUGAGAUACGUAUGUGGCCUGUGUCGGCCUCGGUCGGGUUUCUUUGUAAUCUUUCUUAUUUUUGUUAAUCCUCGAGAGAGGGAACUACGUUUGACCUGAUUCCUGCCUCAACGGGAUACGUAGGCGCCACAAGGGCUCGGUCAUACCUCCCAUAAGAUUUCUAUUUCUUUUUACAAUAGAAACUGGGACAGAAUUUUUGAGAGGGACUCAAAAAAUUCUCAAGAAAAAGAUCUCUCCAACAAAGUCAAGACUGAAGUAACUUCGAGAUUUGCAACUGGGACAGAAUUUUUGACAAAAUCUCAAAAAUUCCGUUAUUUGUUCACCAACAGUUCGAGAUAAGCCAAGACGGUUAACUGGGACAAAUUUUUGAGGAGGGCCUCAAAAUUCCAACAGGGUUCAUCUGAAGUCUAGAACAACUUCGGACGCUCCCCAACAAGUAAUUAGAUAGAUCUCGAGACAUCACCUCCAAAUGGCGUUCAUUAAGUUUGACGGGACAUGACACUCGGCAAUGACCUUUCCCAAAUACUACUUUUCGAAAAUCUGUUUUUCUUAAAACUUUUCCUUCGUGUUUCAAUUAUUUUUGCACAAAAAUGUUUUGUUUUAUCUACCAAGAAGCGGGAGAUCGGAGAAAUCAGCCUGAGAUAGCAAGACAAGGAGCAGACAAUCGAAGAGAUCAACACAGAUCAAUUCAUUUUAAACUAACAAUUUUUCUAUGGAUGUAGGUCUACAGGUUUGCCGCAAGAUUAGCAUAUUCCUCCAUUUAACGAAUAUAGGAGAAGUCAAAAGGGCGAGGAGCUCCCCAAAAUUGACAACUUUUCUGUGGAUGCAAGAAAUAUUUUAUGCUUCUUAUACCAAGAAUUGGGAAUACGAGUAGCAUUACUUUAUUCAAAUUCUCAGCAAGGCAAGGUUCAUAACAAACAUACAAUUACGUUCGGAGAUGGGACAAAUGAAAACCUUGAAGAGAGAAAUAUAAUUAUUUCCCAGCAAUUAAAGAUCCCUGGAAAUAUUUAUCUGCAUUAUACUAUCAGAUAUGAUAAUAUUACUACCAGGAGAGUCAUUUAUAUCGUAUUGUCGAAUGAGACGAUACCAUCACCCGGAGAGAAGUUUAUAUCGUAUUGUCAAAUGAGAUGAUACCACUACUCCGAAGGUCAUUUUUAUUUAUAUUGUCAAUUGAGACGAUACCGCCGUCCAAGAGAUACCCAGAAGAUCACCUAUGUUGCUGGGUGAAGCAUAAUCUUCGUUCGGUAUCAGGGAGGCAUCAUCGAAGUCAUGCAUAGCAAGAGGAAAUCCUGCACAACAAAGAGGAAAAGUCAUGGAUUGAGAGAAAGAAAUCAUGUAUUGGAAGAGAAGGAUUCAUGCAUCGCGAAAAAAAAGUCAUGCAUCGCGGGAAAGAGAUUCAUGCAUAGCAAGAGAAGGAUUCAUGCAUCGCGAAAAAAAAGUCAUGCAUCGCGGGAAAGAGAUUUAUGCAUAGCAAGAGGAAGAAACCACGCAUAGCAAAAGGAAACGUCACGCAUCGCGGGAAAGAGAUUCAUGCAUAGCAAGAGAAGGAUUCAUGCAUCGUGGAAUAAAAAAAGGUCAUGCAUCGCGGGAAAGAGAUUCAUGUAUCGCGGGAAAAGUCAUGCAUUGCAAGAUAAAUAAGUCAUGCAUCGCGGGAAAGAGAUUUAUGCAUAGCAAGAAGAAGAAACCAUGCAUAGCAAGAGAAAACCUCAUGCAUCGCGAGAAAGAGAUUCAUGCAUGGCAAGAGAAGGAUUCAUGCAUCGCGGAAAAGAAGUUAUGCAUUGCAAAAGAAAGAUUUACCCAUCACAAGAAAAUCAACAUCGACUACAUUAUUUUCUUUGAAACAACGACAUCAAGAGAAUCGUCAACAUAUUACAUCAGCCUAUUUUACUACUUUGACGUCAAAGGAAGAACACAUUGAAGAUUAUAUUGCAAAAUAAGACACAAGCUUUAUUUGCUUUACGUCAAACUCGAUGGAGUUGACGUCAAAUGUUCAAGGAGAGCAAUUAAGUGUCAACACGGUAACAGACACUAUCUCCCCAUUUGAAUUGCAUUUUAUGCUAAUGAGUUUUAUUUCGGUCUUUGUCGAGAGCAUCCAAAAGGAUGAAUUCUCCAAAACAAACCACAGGUGCGGACGACAUCAAAACGGAUGCAGCACAACGUGGAACCUUUUCUUAGCAGCGAACUGGGACAUAGUCCAAAGAGGAGUGUCAAACUCUUAGGACGCGAGCAGAGGAGCGACUUCCACCACAAUCAAACCACACCCCUAUCAGAAGGCAUGUGGGUUUUUCUCUGGUUUGUCUGUUUCAGUUUCGCUUCCAGAAAAUUUUGGUCUCUACCGAAAGCGGCUUUCCAAUCUGAGUGACAAAUGCACCAAGAGCUUUGGGAAUUAUGUCCGUGUUAGUUCUUAAUUAUGGGUGUGAAGUGCACCACAUUCAUGGUUAAGAGUUUGUAAGCAUCCUUUUCAUACUCGGCUUACUUUGUCGCUUUUCUAAAACCAAAGGUGAUCUAGCAUAAUAGAUUUCUUUUUCAACCGAUAGAGUCGAACUACAAGUAGCCUGAUUUCCUCAGUUGAGGGAUAUGUAGGCGGAAUCAAUGUUGAAAAUUCGGCUGUAGUCCAACUUCCACUCUCAAAUAUUAUUCCCGAGCAUUCUGGUAUCUUCCUAAUUCGGUAUUAGAAUGGCUUUUAAAUUCUUUCAAAUCGUGCGUCAAAUCAAGCGUAUCGAACUACAAGUGGCCUGACUUCUCAUAUGGCCUGGGAUAUGUAGGAAACCCAUUUUCGGGGUUCGGCCAUAAUCCUAAAGUCCGUACCAAUUCCCUUUUCCAAAGAUAGAAAUGUGGUCGAUCAAAAUUGGAUUAGUCAAUUUCAUUUUCCUCGGAUUUCUUUCAUCAAUCCGAGUAAAAUGAGGGACAGUUGUUGACACCCAAUUUUGGACCUCCACAAUAGGAUUAAUCACAGAGCUUCUUAAAUUCCAAAUGAUUUGAUAUAAUUAGUUUUUAUAAAGUUCAAAAUAUUUUAUUUUAUUUUUUUCAAGUUAUUUUCAAUCAAUUUUAUAAUUUUUAUAAUUUUUAAAUAUUGUAUAUGCUUUAUAUAAUUUUGAAUAUUUAGUAUAUUUUAUAUACAUUCGAAAAUCAUCUCAAAAAGAGUGUAAUUUUAGCAAGUAUUUUAUUAAAUUAGUUUAGUUUAAAUUAUGGUUAUAAUUUGGAAUCAUUAGUUUACAUUUAAGUUAAUUAUUUUAUUUCGUUAAGAUUAAGAAGCUUGUAAAUUAAUUAUAUUAAUUCAUUCUAUUUAAUUAUUGGCCAACAUACUAAUUCAUCUUAUUUGAUUAUUAGCCAAGCUUACUAAAUUUGAUCAAUUUGGUUAAGUUCUUAACUUCCAUCGGCUAUAAUUGCAAUUCUUUCUCAAUUGCAAUAAUAGCCAAGCCUCACCUCCAAUUUUAUAACAUUUUGGGCCCAAUUUUGUAUCAAUUGAAGCCCAUUCCCAUAUAACAACCAGCAACCCAGUAUAAUAGUAAUUAACAACUCCUAAUUCUGCCCAACAUAUUCCCAAACCUAUUCCUUUUCCCCUGUAGACCCGACCCAUCUAGCCCCAAUGCAGUGAUUCGACCCACCCCUACGCGCUUCACUUUUAUUUCUCACGCGAAUACACGGAACAGUAGCAACUCACGAUUCCAACGGCGUGAACAACAACCAAACGACGCUCCAACGUUCAUCAACUCACGGCGCGGACACGGAGACACACGGAAAGCAGCGAAGAACAGAGAGAGUACACUGCGAUUUUGUUUUCUUCUUCACGUCCCCCUCAAUCCGUACAUCGCAGCAGCACGCGUUUUCUCCCCUUUCCUCUUCCGGAAUGGGGCGAAAAUUGCAAGGAAAAGGUGCCUCACCUAAAAUGGUGAAAGAUUGGGAGUUUGAAUUCGAAAUGGGCUUCAAUUCCUGUUGGGAAUUCGUCUUUUUUCCCCCCAACUGAGAACCCUAAAUUUCCCCUAUAUAAUAUCUUUUCCGUUCAUUUGUUAAGAGGGGGAGAACGACCAUUAGGAAUGAAAAUAUAAUAAAAAUUGUUAGCUAGAUAGUUAUAUUAACAGCUUCAAAAUCGCAGAGAUUGGGAACACAAAUUUUGCUUAGUUCUCUUGUGCGUUCUUUGUUUACGGGAGUUCAUCGGAAUCUCUAUUUGUGGUUUGGAAGGUUCUUAAAUAGCUCGUCAUUCCGGUCUCGCUGCACCGAAAAAGGUGACAACUCCUCCUCUUUCACUUUGUUUUAUUUUUUAGUUAGUUUGUCCUCUGUUUGAUGAAGUAGUCGUAUAUCUAUGUUUGUUCCCUUCCGUUUGAACUCUAUUAGUGCUAUAAUGCUUAAAUCAGGAAUAUGUAGUAGCUAAUUUUAUGAUGCAAUGUCCUCAUCUCUUAUCGUUUGCUGUUGCUUUGGUCUGAGAAUGAGAAAACAAUAGAAAUUCCAUGUGUGUCACUUCAUACCCUUACCCCUCUAUCAUGUUGGUUGCGUUCUUAUUUUGAUGUUGACUCGAUGUCUUGGUAAAUGUUGAAGGAUGUUUAUUCCCUCCGUCUUGUCUUAUGAAGAUGAGAGUAUAAGAUUACAUUCCUACUUGUGCCUAAAAUUCUAUGAUCUUUUAUGUUACUAUCGUUAAUAUUAUGUGUUGAUUUGGUCCAUAUCUAAUAUGCUCGGCUCCUCUUAAUGUCAUGAGAUUCUUUUGCCACCUUGUCUCAGUUAUGCAAAAAAUGUAAAUUUUUAUUUACGCUUCAUCAGUCAAAAGAGGGGUUUGUUUAUUUGAGUUACUUCAAGUUAUAUUAAAUUAGUAUAUGUUCAUUAUGGUCUAAUUCUCUCUCUAGUUUUAAAGGUCUUAGGAGACAUGCUAAGGUGCUCACUGUUAGUACUAGAAUAAUUAUAGAUCUUCCGCAACCAUC
rnacentral:lncRNA from 1 species